CCUACGGGUGGCAGCAGUGGGGAAUAUUGGGCAAUGGAGGCAACUCUGACCCAGCAACGCCGCGUGAAUGAUGAAGGUCUUCGGAUUGUAAAGUUCUGUGAUGGGGGAUGAACACAAUGACGGUACCCCAAUAGCAAGCCACGGCUAACUACGUGCCAGCAGCCGCGGUAAUACGUAGGGGGCAAGCGUUAUCCGGAUUUACUGGGUGUAAAGGGAGCGUAGACGGAAUUGCAAGUCUGAUGUGAAAAUCCGGGGCCCAACCCCGGAACUGCAUUGGAAACUGUAUUUCUAGAGUGUCGGAGAGGCAAGUGGAAUUCCUGGUGUAGCGGUGAAAUGCGUAGAUAUCAGGAGGAACACCAGUGGCGAAGGCGGCUUGCUGGACGAUGACUGACGUUGAGGCUCGAAAGCGUGGGGAGCAAACAGGAUUAGAUACCCUUGUAGUC
rnacentral:rRNA from 1 species